rnacentral:rRNA from 1 species
GACGAACGCUGGCGGCGUGCCUAAUACAUGCAAGUCGAACGCCUUUACUUUAAACGUUGCUUGCUACACCGAAAGAAAGUGGGUGGCGAACGGGUGAGUAACAAUUUGGUAACUUGCCCAUCAUCGGGGGAUAAAACUUGGAAACAGGUCCUAAUACCCCAUAAUUCCAUUUCCCGCAUGGUUGAUGGAUGACAGGCUCUUUUGCGUCACUGAUGGAUGGACCCGCGGUGCAUUAGCAGGUUGGCGGGGUAACGGCCUACCAAGGCUGCGAUGCAUAGCCGACCUGAGGGGGUGAUCGGCCACACUGGGACUUGGACACGGCCCAGACUCCUACGGGGAGCAGCAGGAGGGAAUCCUCGGCAAUGGACGCAAGGCUGACCGAGCAACGACGCGUGAGUGAAGAAGGUUGUCGGAUUGUAAAACUCGGUUGUUAGAGAAGAAAAAGCAGGAGAGUGGAAAGUUCAUCCCUUGACGGUAUCUAACCAAAAAGCAACGGCUAACUACGUG